ensembl:lncRNA
CAUACAUGACCACAGGAAAAACCAUAGCCUUGACUAGACGGGCCUUAGUCGGCAAAGUAAUGUCUCUGCUUUUGAAUAUGCCAUCUAGGUUGGUCAUAACUUUUCUUCCAAGGAGUAAGCGUCUUUUAAUUUCAUGGCUGCAGUCACCAUCUGCAGUGAUUUUGGAGCCCCCCAAAAUAAAGUCUGACACUGUUUCCACUGUUUCCCCAUCUAUUUCCCAUGAAGUGAUGGGACCGGAUGCUAUGAUCUUCUGAAUGUUGAGCUUUAAGCCAACUUUUUCACUCUCCUCUUUCACUUUCAUCAAGAGGCUUUUUAGCUCCUCUUCACUUUCUGGGUUACAGUCUACAGGGUUUCAAAGAGUCAGGCAUAACUGAGAGACUAACACUAUCAUUUUUUUUUUUUUUACUAUAUAAUUUGAAGGUGUAUAGCAUAAUGAUUUGAUCUACAUGCAUCAUGAAAUGGUAACAUAACUAAGUUUAGUGACCAUCCAUCAUCUCAUAUAGAUAGAAAAUGAAAGAAAUAGAAAAUUCUAUUUUUCCUUGUAAUGAGAACUGUGAGGAUAUACUUAUGCUUGAGAUGAUACUUAAGGCCUGAAAAGUAAUUAUCUGGGUGAAGAAGAUAGGGAAGGAGAUCUAACUAGAAGGACUAACAUGAGAAAUGUAAGGGGACCUGAAACACUAAGCACAUUUGAAAAACUAUGGUGGUGGUUUGGUUGCUAAGUCAUGCCCAACUCUUGCAACUCUAAGGACUAUAGCCUGCCAGUCUCCUCUGUCCAUAGGAUUCUCCAGGCAAGAAUACUGGAAUGGGUUGCCAUUUCCUUCUCCAGGGGAUCUUCCCCAUCCAAGAAUUGAACCCAGGUCUCCUGCAUUGCAGGCAGAUUCUUUACCAAAUGAACUAUGAGGAAGGCCUGAAAAACUAUAAAUAACAGUAUUUCUGGAAUGUUGACAGUAAGGCAGAAAUGGGGCAGGGUACAUCUCCAGGGGCCAAGCAUGAAAACUGCUCUCAGACUAAAGUUUCUGUUAGGAUAUGGAUAAAAGAAAUCAGAAGAGGGUUUAGUUCUUAGCAUUUUCUGAUACUAAGACUCCAGGAAUUCGACAGUGUGAGAUUUGGGAUCAAAGCAACUGAAAAGGCAACAAUGAGGUUAUACUAAGAUCAAAAGAUUUACUUUAAGGUGAUGAAAGGCAGCAGCUAGAAUUGCAGGCAGGGCUGAAACAUUAUUGACAUCUUGGUCAGUAGGUUGUGGCCUCUUAUGAGAACUUUAAACAGCAUUAGUGAUGUGACUCAUUUUUUUUUUUUUCUUUCUUAGAAACCAAUAGGACAUCUACAAAGUCCUAGAUCCUGACUGCAAUUCUGUGUGUCUAAGAAUAAAUGAGAAGAAACCAGAACACAAUAAAAAAGAGAAAAGGAAAUGAUCAAACUCUGCAGGAUAUUUGUAGCAUAUUUUUAGUGACCUCAAAUUAUGAGAUUAAAAAUGGAAUGAAAAGGAAAUGGUCUCGAAG